rnacentral:rRNA from 1 species
UACGUAGGGGGCAAGCGUUGUCCGGAAUCAUUGGGCGUAAAGAGCGUGUAGGCGGUCCGGUCAGUCGGUUGUGAAAGUCAAGGGCUCAACCCUUGAAUGCCGGCCGAUACUGCCGGGCUAGAGUCCGGAAGAGGUGAGUGGAAUUCCUGGUGUAGCGGUGAAAUGCGCAGAUAUCAGGAGGAACACCGGUGGCGAAGGCGGGUCUCUGGGCCGAUACUGACGCUGAGGAGCGAAAGCGUGGGGAGCAAACAGG